GCUAGUGUAGCUUAAAUAAAGCAUAACACUGAAGUGUUAAGU
rnacentral:tRNA from 1 species